GUUUUCUGUGUUCAUGUUUUGUCCCAAAGAUCAUUUUGCAAGAGCUUCAGUUUCACCUUGGUCACCCAAAUUCUGAGUUUAAAAGGCUUGUCAUGUGAACCAUGUGGGCAGUGUUCCCCCUGUGCUCCAUGUCCUUUGGGAGUGGAGAAGGAGAGUUACUGUAUCCCUGAUGUGAUUCCAGCAAAAUAGUGAGUGAUCUUUGGGUUCCUUUCUUUCUGUGCUUCUGCUCAGGACAAUAUUGGUGUUGCCCCUGAAUCGUCAGGAGGGGAGCCUGUGGACAGAGCUGCAGCAGAGGAGACUUCAUCUGGCACCGAGAGCUGCAGGAACAGUUCCCAGGAGCCCGAGGAGCCUGAUGCCAUCUGACCAACAUCUCCAGGAGGGCUGCUCUGCAUGGCGGGAAGAGAUAGAGGAGAGCCUGUGACAAUUGGGCAGGUAGAAUUCCUCUGUUUGUAGAUACAUUUAUAGAUUUCUAUGGUUCUAUUUAUCAGUGCUUGUAGUUCCAUUUAUACAUUAGAGUGUUCUGUUUAUAAGUGCAUAUAUUUAUAGAGCUGUAUAGUUAAAUGUAGAUAUAUAUAGAGUUUCAGAAGAGAUAUAAUUAUAUUUCUAUAUAUGUAAUGGCAUAUAUAGAUUUUCAGAGUUAAAUUUAUAUAUUUGUAGAGUGAAAUAUAUAUGUAUGAAGCUAUAUUUAUAAAUGUGCACAGUUAUAUAGUAAGAGGAAUAUGAGUGCUUAACUGAAUAGAUUGAUGUGGUGUAGGUCUAGGAUGCAUUUUUACUUCUUUCCCCCUCGGCUGCCUUUUUCACCUCUUGCUUUUCCCCCUGUGCCCCCUGUGUCCCCUCUCCCUGGGCUGGGUCCGAGCUGGCGGCCAGGCCGGGCGCAGCAGCAGUUCCAGCCCCGGGUGUCCCUGGAGCGCUGGGAGCUGCCGGUGGCCCCAGGCACUGUCCCCUGAGGAGCUGCUGAAGGACGCUGCAAGGAAGAACU